CAGGACGAACGCUGGCGGCGUGCCUAACACAUGCAAGUCGAGCGAGGAGAUCCUUCGGGAUGAUCCUAGCGGCGGACGGGUGAGUAACACGUGGGCAACCUGCCUCAUAGAGAGGAAUAGCCUUCCGAAAGGGAGAUUAAUACCUCAUAACAUUGCAGUUUCGCAUGGAACAGCAAUUAAAGGAGUAAUCCGCUAUGAGAUGGGCCCGCGGCGCAUUAGCUAGUUGGUGAGGUAACGGCUCACCAAGGCGACGAUGCGUAGCCGACCUGAGAGGGUGAUCGGCCACAUUGGGACUGAGACACGGCCCAGACUCCUACGGGAGGCAGCAGUGGGGAAUAUUGCACAAUGGGGGAAACCCUGAUGCCAGCAACGCCGCGUGAGUGAUGACGGCCUUCGGGUUGUAAAGCUCUGUCUUCAGGGACGAUAAUGACGGUACCUGAGGAGGAAGCCACGGCUAACUACGUGCCAGCCGCGGC
rnacentral:rRNA from 1 species